AUGGCAGGGGCAGGGGCUAAGCCGCCGGGGCACCGCGCUCCGGCCGCCGCCCGUGGGGAGGGGGUCACCGCAAACGCGCGUCGCCGACCCCGCUGGCCUGGCACCUACACGUGGGUCCGGGGACUCCGUCUCUGCCCGCGGUGCCCCCCGCACCCAGCCGGCCCGGGCACCUGUUCUCCUGCUAAGCCAACAUUAUUGUGCAAACCCAAGCCCAAGUUUCAGUCAUCGCGCGGAUUAGGCAGAGAAGUUCCCCGCGGAACUUUCUACAGGUGUCUCUCUCCCAGGCCACGACAGCGAAGCGGACAGGGGCGAGGCGCUCGGACCUGGGCGCAGCCCUCCCGCCCUGGCCCGACAGCCCAGGGGUCUUGGGCCUCCCCGUCCCGGGUGGGAGUCCCGAGGGGGCGGACCCGGCGGGGCCAAUCCGGCACGCACCUCACCUGGAACCCCGGGCCGGCCCCCGCCCGAGGCCUCGGCGUCCCUCGGCGCCUGCCGCCGGCCCCGCUCGCUCCGCCGCGCCUGCCCACGGGCUGCUGGGCUACCGUCUCCUUCCUGCUCACCUCCGGCGCGGCGAGCCUGGGGCGGAGCCGCGCUAUUUACAUAAAGGGCGAGCCUGCCUGGGCCCAGCGCCCCGCCCCCGGCCCGCCCCCCAGCUCGGCGCCGCUGGGGCGGGGGCACUCUCGGGGGUGGGGGCUGCGUUCCGGCCAAUCCGCGGCCCCGGGGAGCGCGGGGCGGGGCCUCGAGAACUGGCUCGGGGCUCCGCGGGCCCGCCCCGGCCUCACCUGCGAGCACCUGGACGCAGAACGGCGCGCCGCGCCCAGUGUCCCGCCGCCUCCCGCAAGCGGAAAUAGUUCCCGGAACGCCCGCGGUCCCGGGCCACCUCCCAGACUCCAGGGGAGUCGUCCCUCCAACUCCCCGGAGCUGCCGAGGGAGGGGCGGAUCCGGGCCAGCUCCUCUGCCAGAGCCCAGCCCAGACAGGGUGACCGGCGGACGCAGGGCCGGGUUUCUAGCCCCACAAGAGGGGUGGUGUGGGGACCGGGGCGUCGCAGCUAG
rnacentral:lncRNA from 1 species